AUUGAACGCUGGCGGCAUGCCUUACACAUGCAAGUCGAACGGCAGCACGGGUGCUUGCACCUGGUGGCGAGUGGCGAACGGGUGAGUAAUACAUCGGAACGUACCUUAUCGUGGGGGAUAACGCAGCGAAAGCUGUGCUAAUACCGCAUACGCCCUGAGGGGGAAAGCGGGGGAUCGCAAGACCUCGCGCGAUUAGAGCGGCCGAUGCCUGAUUAGCUUGUUGGUGGGGUAAAAGCCCACCAAGGCGACGAUCAGUAGAUGGUCUGAGAGGACGAUCAGCCACACUGGGACUGAGACACGGCCCAGACUCCUACGGGAGGCAGCAGUGGGGAAUUUUGGACAAUGGGGGCAACCCUGAUCCAGCAAUGCCGCGUGAGUGAAGAAGGCCUUCGGGUUGUAAAGCUCUUUUGUCAGGGAAGAAACACCGGCUCUAACACAGUCUGGGAAUGACGGUACCUGAAGAGUAAGCACCGGCUAACUACGUGCCAGCCGCCGCCGUAA
rnacentral:rRNA from 1 species